rnacentral:rRNA from 1 species
CCUACGGGAGGCAGCAGUGAGGAAUAUUGGUCAAUGGGCGCGAGCCUGAACCAGCCAAGUCGCGUGAGGGAAGAAGGUCCUAUGGAUCGUAAACCUCUUUUGUCGGGGAGCAAAAGACGCCACGCGUCGCGUUCCGAGAGUAACCGAAGAAAAAGCAUCGGCUAACUCCGUGCCAGCAGCCGCGGUAAUACGGAGGAUGCGAGCGUUAUCCGGAUUUAUUGGGUUUAAAGGGUGCGCAGGCGGAAUAUCAAGUCAGCGGUAAAAUUGAGAGGCUCAACCUCGUCGAGCCGUUGAAACUGGUGAUCUUGAGUGAGUGAGAAGUAUGCGGAAUGCGUGGUGUAGCGGUGAAAUGCAUAGAUAUCACGCAGAACUCCGAUUGCGAAGGCAGCAUACCGGCGCUCAACUGACGCUCAUGCACGAAAGUGUGGGUAUCGAACAGGAUUAGAUACCCCUGUAGUC